AGUAAGAUACCAGUGUAAUAGAGCUUCUGAGCCCAGGGCGAUUUUAUAGGCCCAGCACUGCGGUCUCAUGGUGGCAACGUUGGAGGAUCACUGGAACAGCCCCAUUUGGAUCCAGCUACCAUAGAUGUUAUCAUUGUUACGGCCUUAGUUCAACAAAGGCUCACAGAAAUUGAGGAAUAAAUAUGUCAUGAAGCCCAGGACCUUGCAGCUUAUGAACAGCUUCCACAAGAAGAAGUCUAAAUGGAAGGUUCCCUGAUGAUGUGGAAGAGAUUCUGGAGGACAAUAGUUUACAGAGCUUGCUGUCGAUUCCUCCAGGUUGACAUUUUGCCUCAAGUUAAAGCAUCCAAACCAAGGAAACAUCAACAUUUCUCAUUUGGGAAAAAAUUUGAGAAAACAUCAAAUAAUUUGUGACUUAAUACAGCAAAUCAAAUCUGAAUGACAAUCCUAGUCUACAGAUUAAUGGAUUGAUGAAUUCCUAAGGUAUCAAAAACUGUUCUUCAGCGAGAGACAAUUAUGGAUUCUUGUUAUCGGCAGAAAAAUAUUUAUAUAUGAAAGGAAAAAGAUCAAGCUUAAAGUAGAUUAGAGAAA